UGCUCGCCCUUUUGCGUGUCUGGCGGGAGGAACCCAGACACGCUAACCGCCCUCUCCCUUCUGUCUGGAGCUUACCAGACAGAGGAGGAGUGUGUGACGCAUCGUAGAGCAUGUGCGGCUCAGAUGUACACUAGCAUUGUUGUCUGGGUGUCACCCUCAGAGUGACGCGUCAAUGAGGGAAACAGACAACGUAUGCCACAACAUACCCUUCGCCACGUACUGAUCACUGGUGAUAAGGUCAACGUUGCCAGCAUACACUUCUCAUACUGAAAAGCUCACCCAAGCAUCACUGGUCAAGCUCAACUGGAACAACAGUGAACAGACCAGCAGUGUGCUAGCCUUUGAAGAAUUCUUUUUUUUUUUUGCUGAGAAUGGCAACCAGCGCACUCCACCAACAACGAGGUCAGUG